ACCGGAAAUCCUCAACCAGCUAUUUUUUGGAGGAGAGAAGGGAGUCAGGUACCACCUUUUUCUAAUUUUUUUUUUAAAUCAGCAAAGAUGGUUGCCAAGAUGUAUGAGAAGAAAAACCAACAUAUUACUUAGUCAUGCAGCUGUCACAUUAAGAGAACUGGCAAAUCUCUGAGUGCCCAGAACAUUUUAGCAAUGAGAAAGAAGACAAAAUUGUCUUCACCGCUUGAAUUCUGAAAGCAUUUUUCUCCACCUAGUUGUGGUACACAAGGUAGUAUAUAAAAUUAACCUUUAUUUCUAGCUCAGCCACAUUAAAAAGAAAUACUUCUGAAUCUAAAUUUAUUGUAGUGAUUGGAAUAAUAUUUUCACUAUCAAUUCCAAAAAGUAGAUGAAAGAGCACUUAAAGAAAGAAACAACCUGUCUCUUAGGGAAGAAAAUGGAACACGAAUAAAAGAAGAGAAGCAGGAAUAAAAGAUGCUUACUCUAUAUAUUCAGUAUUGUUGAUCUUUUAAAACUUCUGAUAAAGACUCAAAUAAUCAAUAUAAUAGAAGUUGCUUUCUAAAUUAGAAUCUGUGGAGUCAUCUUUGACUCCUCAUCUUUCUUUAUCUCUGUAUCUAUUCAAUAAUCUUUUUAAUCCAUCGAGUUGUCUUCAUCAACUCCCAGAGCUAGUCAUCUGUAGUGUGAAAUUGUAACAGCCUACUAAUUCCAUCCUGUUUCUGGUCUUCUCCCCAAAUUACAUUUUCUUGUUGUUGCUAGAAUACUGUUUCUCUAGACCACUCUUAUUUUCCCGAUUACGUAAACUGAAGUAUAAUACGCAUGCCAUGAAGUAAGUAAACUAAUGCAGCUUGAUGAAUUUAUUCAUGUC
rnacentral:lncRNA from 1 species